UUUUCACAAGGACAUGAUGCGAGUAAAUCAAAGGACGAUUCUAUUGAUAUGUUCUUUUUGUGGCAUUUUUGUUUGGUCGUGUGCCAUGAAAGUUAAUUAGAGUUAACUUUCAUGGCACAUAGUUAAUUAACUUUUAAAAAUAAUUUGGGUGAGAACUAUGGUGGCCAUUUUUGUUUUUU